rnacentral:pre_miRNA from 1 species
UGUUAAAAUUUUUAUCUAUUUCUAUGUUAAAAACUAGCGUGAUUGUUGGAAUAACCAAACAGUUUCACAUGGUGUGCCACGUGUAUCUCAUGCUAGCAUACAAAAAUUUAGCCUUUAACCGUAGAAAUGGAUAGAUUUUUAACA